AGGUGGCACAACUGAUCCAUGCAUCUGGCUGUUAACCAGAAGGUUGGUGGUUGAAGCCCACCCAGCGAUG